UCGCGCUCUCUCUCAUUUUCCCACCAAAGCUGCAGAGAAAUUUCAUCUUCCCAGUUGGAGAUUCAGGUCUAGCUUUUAGGUUUUUAUUUUUCAGCUCCCAAGAGUUUUCAUCGCCUGAUCUAGAGACCACGCCCGUUGUUGCUAAAACUGAUGUGGCACAAGCAACACCACCUGAUAAUUUUACUAUUGAUGUUGCAGAGUAUGAAGAUCAGAAUCUGGAGCCUGAAAAAGAGCCGGAUGAUGAGAAUGAUACGCCUCAAGAAGGGAGGAUUGAUAGGAUUAGCUGUCAUCACGGUUGGGUUGACUUCUGAAGCAGCUUAUCAUCUUGAGUGCAAGCUUUUAGGAUUUCUUUUGAGCAAUCUCCAAAGAAGGCCAAGCAAGACCAUGACAAUGGCAAGACUAAUGGAAAAGCUGGAGAAUCUGAUGUUAUAGAUGUGGAGUUUGAAGAAUUCUGUAAAGCUAUUGAGGCUAAUCUCUCUAUUGAACAAAUGGUUGAGAUUCUUGAAGCCAAUGACCAAGACUCCUGUGGCCCAGAUCCUGUUGUUGUCACUAAAUGCCAAGACAUGCUGUUUUAUGGAGCGUUAGGGAGAUGCCCAAUUUGCAAUAUUAAAUUGGAAUUUGAUGGUAAAAGAUAUACUUGCAAAGGAAUGUACAGUGAGUGGUCUACAUGCACAUUCAGAACAAAAGAUCCACCGAGGAGGGAGGAGCCUGUCAAAAUACCAGAUUUUGUCCUCAAAUCUGUUGAUUUAGACUUGAUUUAGAAGUAUCAAAUGACUCGAAAAUGGAUGAAAAGCUUGGUUUUGAAGAAGAUAAGGGCAGUGAAGAUAACCACAACCAGAACAACACCAACAAAGUUGAGAACAACAAUGCAACUAUGGAUAGUUGUGGGGAAGAUUGUGUUGAAACUGUGACGGUGGAGAAGGCUGGGGAGUGUUUAAGCUGUGUAUGACCAAUCCCCAGGUAUGUUGUGGGAGAAACUAAGUUGGAAGCUUCAAAAGAGGGUCGUACUCUUAAGGAUUUCAAGUAUGGAUGUGUUGGUUACUCAGUAUACUUGGACAAUAAAGAUUCAUCAACUGAAAAGAUGGAUAAAGAAGCAGAAUUGCCCUUCUGUGUUGGGCUUGAGGUGAUGUAUUAUGAUCUCUUUUUUUGAUUUUUUCCUACUCUAUAGCAUUUUGUUGUGAAAUCUAAGGAUCCGUUGACAUAUUUUCUCACUCAUUUUUAAUAAUAUGUCAAUGUUAUUGUGGUUGCUGAGAUUUGGUUGUUUGAAGAAACAUCUGAAGAGGCUUCAUAAUUGAUGCAUUUUUAAAUGGAUAUCGCUUUCAUGUUUAGUCUUUCUUUUAUAAUUCAUGAUUACUAAGAUAUGAGACUCCAAUUUUGUCACAGUUAAUAUAUUUUCUUUUUAUUUAUUUACUUUUGGUUAGUAGCUGUUAUUU